rnacentral:rRNA from 1 species
UACGUAGGGUGCAAGCGUUAAUCGGAAUUACUGGGCGUAAAGCGUGCGCAGGCGGCUUUGCAAGACAGAUGUGAAAUCCCCGGGCUCAACCUGGGAACUGCAUUGUGACUGCAUGGCUAGAGUGCGGCAGGAGGGGAUGGAAUUCCGCGUGAUAGCGUGAAAUGCGUAGAUAGUGCGGAGGACACCGAUGGCGAAGGCAGCCCCUGGCCAAUACUGACGC